UACAGAGGAUGCAAGCGUUAUCCGGAAUGAUUGGGCGUAAAGCGUCUGUAGGUGGCUUUUUAAGUCCGCCGUCAAAUCCCAGGGCUCAACUCUGGACAGGCGGUGGAAACUACCAAGCUGGAGUACGGUAGGGGCAGAGGGAAUUCCUGGUGUAGCGGUGAAAUGCGCAGAUAUCAGGAGGAACACCAGCGGCGAAGGCGGCGCUCUGGGCCGGAACUGACGCUGAGGAGCGAAAGCGUGGGUAGCAAACAGG
rnacentral:rRNA from 1 species